rnacentral:rRNA from 1 species
UACGAAGGGGGCUAGCGUUGUUCGGAUUUACUGGGCGUAAAGCGCACGUAGGCGGAUCGUUAAGUCAGGGGUGAAAUCCUGGAGCUCAACUCCAGAACUGCCUUUGAUACUGGCGAUCUUGAGUCCGGGAGAGGUGAGUGGAACUGCGAGUGUAGAGGUGAAAUUCGUAGAUAUUCGCAAGAACACCAGUGGCGAAGGCGGCUCACUGGCCCGGUACUGACGCUGAGGUGCGAAAGCGUGGGGAGCAAACAGG